rnacentral:rRNA from 1 species
AUUCCCUAGUAACGGCGAGUGAAGCGGGAUGAGCUCAAAUUUAAAAUCUGGCUGGUUUACCAGUCCGAGUUGUAGUUUAAAGAAGCGUUUUCGGUGGCAGGCCGGGUAUAAAUCCUUUGGAACAGGGUAUCAUAGAGGGUGAGAAUCCCGUCUUUGACUCGGCUGAUGUUACUAUGUGAUACGUUUUCAAAGAGUCGAGUUGUUUGGGAAUGCAGCUCAAAAUGGGUGGUAAAUUUCAUCUAAGGCUAAAUAUUGGCGAGAGACCGAUAGCGAACAAGUACCGUGAGGGAAAGAUGAAAAGAACUUUGAAAAGAGAGUUAAACAGUGCGUGAAAUUGUUGAAAGGGAAACGUUUGACACCAGCUAUGUAGGCGGAAAAUCAGUCAAGCGCAGUGAGGGGCUGGUGUUUGUCCGGACCGCAAGGCCGGCGGAUAUCUCAUCUUUGCUGUGGGUGAUGCACUUUUUCGUUCGCAGGUCAACAUCAGUUUCGCUUGCUGGACAAAACCCCGAGAGAAGGUAGCAGCUUAGGCUGUGUUAUAGCUCUGGGGCGAUACAGUGGGUGGGACUGAGGAUUCGCAGUGUGUGCUCUCGGGCAAGGCUGACUGGGUGCUCUGGGGUUGUUUGGCGUACAAUGCUUGCAUUUUGCGUCUUGUCUUCUUCAGACUCGCUUAGUUCGGCUCUUCCACGCUUAGGAUGUUGACUUAAUGGUUUUAAACGACCCGUCUUGAAACACGGACCAAGGAGUCUAACAUGCAUGCAAGUGUUUGGGUGGCAAACCCAUGCGCGUAAUGAAAGUGAACGUAGGUGCGAUCCGCAAGGUGCAGCAUCGACCGAUCUUGAUAUUUUUGGAUAGAUUUGAGUAAGAGCAUGUAUGCUGGGACCCGAAAGAUGGUGAACUAUGCCUGAAUAGGGUGAAGCCAGAGGAAACUCUGGUGGAGGCUCGUAGCGAUUCUGACGUGCAAAUCGAUCGUCAAAUUGGGUAUAGGGCGAAAGACUAAUCGA